AGACCAACAGUAAGAUACAGCAUUUAUGAACUCACCUGCACCAGGAAAUCCACUGGAAUCAACGCCCUUUCACACAGAGGAAGAAACACACGUGUGUGCACACGCAGAGACAAAGAAUACACAAGCAUAAACAAAGAUGGUGCCUACCUGCAGCGACAUUUUGCGAACGGCACAAAGACCAACAGCAAGAUACAGCAUUUAUGAACUCACCUGCAUCAGGAAAUCCACUGGAAUCAACGCCCUUUCACACAGAGGAAGAAACACACGUGUGUGCACACGCAGAGACAAAGAAUACACAAGCAUAAACAAAGAUGGCGCCUACCUGCAGCGACAUUUUGCGAACGGCACAAAGACCAACAGUAAGAUACAGCAUUUAUGAACUCACCUGCAUCAGGAAAUCCACUGGAAUCAACGCCCUUUCACACAGAGGAAGAAACACACGUGUGUGCACACGCAGAGACAAAGAAUACACAAGCAUAAACAAAGAUGGCACCUACCUGCAGCGACAUUUUGCGAACGGCACAAAGACCAACAGUAAGAUACAGCAUUUAUGAACUCACCUGCAUCAGGAAAUCCACUGGAAUCAACGCCCUUUCACACAGAGGAAGAAACACACGUGUGUGCACACUCAGAGACAAAGAAUACACAAGCAUAAACAAAGAUGGCGCCUACCUGCAGCGACAUUUUGCGAACGGCACAAAGACCAACAGUAAGAUACAGCAUUUAUGAACUCACCUGCAUCAGGAAAUCCACUGGAAUCAACGCCCUUUCACACAGAGGAAGAAACACACGUGUGUGCACACGCAGAGACAAAGAAUACACAAGCAUAAACAAAGAUGGCGCCUACCUGCAGCGACAUUUUGCGAACGGCACAAAGACCAACAGUAAGAUACAGCAUUUAUGAACUCACCUGCAUCAGGAAAUCCACUGGAAUCAACGCCGUAAGUAGCGAGCUGCUAAUG